GAUGAACGCUGGCGGCGUGCCUAAUACAUGCAAGUCGAGCGAACAGACGAGGAGCUUGCUCCUCUGACGUUAGCGGCGGACGGGUGAGUAACACGUGGAUAACCUACCUAUAAGACUGGGAUAACUUCGGGAAACCGGAGCUAAUACCGGAUAAUAUAUUGAACCGCAUGGUUCAAUAGUGAAAGACGGUUUUGCCGUCACUUAUAGAUGGAUCCGCGCCGCAUUAGCUAGUUGGUAAGGUAACGGCUUACCAAGGCAACGAUGCGUAGCCGACCGGGGAGGGUGAGCGGCCACACUGGAACUGGGACACGGUCCAGACUCCUACGGGAGGCAGCAGUAGGGAAUCUUCCGCAAUGGGCGAAAGCCUGACGGAGCAACGCCGCGUGAGUGAUGAAGGUCUUCGGAUCGUAAAACUCUGUUAUUAGGGAAGAACAAAUGUGUAAGUAACUAUGCACGUCUUGACGGUACCUAAUCAGAAAGCCACGGCUAACUACGUGCCAGCAGCCGCCGUAA
rnacentral:rRNA from 1 species